UUGGGAAUAGUUCUAAUCAAUAUUUUGUAUUUGGGUAUAGUUCUAGUAGAUAUUUUUUGUAUAGAGGGUCAAAAGGAUAAAAUGAUGUGUUCCAAGUCAGAAUGGUUUUUUGUACACAUGCAUGAUGAAGAAUACCUAAUGGCGGCUACGUAUAGCGGCAAGGCAAAACGAGAGAGGCCGGAAGGUUUCAGCAGAGAGGCAUAGGAGCAUACUAUAUGGCGGCUACGUCUAGAGGCAGAGAAGCUUGUCGACAACCCCAGUAACGGUAAUACUAUAUGUUUAUUGUUUGGUUGGGAGAGAUAGUAUAGCAACAGAUAAUAUGGCGGGUGUAACAUCCCAAUUAUUUUUCUAUGCAUUUAAAAAUAUGGACCCCAAAAAUUUUUCUUAAAAUUUGAAUAGCAAUUCAAACCUUAGAGCCUUGCAUUUAAAAUUAUACAUUGAAAUAUAAUUUUCAUAAUCACAUGUGCAUAUGUUUGAUGUAACUUUUCCUUCUAUCUCAAAAUAUUCUAUCUAACAAGCCUACACACCAAACCCAAAUCAAAUUCGAAAUCCAUUUCAAAUUAGAAACCCAAAUUCUUUUUCAAACAAAUAACAAACCUUUUGAACCACAGUUGGGCCGGCAACCUUGAAACUAGCCCGCUCCCUCUUCCAGCCCGGCUUAUCUCCACCUCUCUCUUCUCUCACUCACACCCAUGAUUUACUCCGGUCAUAUGAGGACCGGCUCAUGGGAAAGUCUUUCUAGUGGACAGUACAGCCACACGUGCCAAAAAGGUACAACCUUCGGGAGUGCCUAAACAUGUGAGGCCUUGAUUUACACCCCACCAACUGAACCUAAUAGACCAUCCCAAGGGGUUAUACUGGGGCAGAACCUUCGCAGAGUCCCAGGUCUGGUCGGCACGGGUCACAAGUUGAGGUUUGUGUGACCUGUUGACAUUGUAUGUCAAGUUAUGAUGCAUGUUUUCCCGGGAUAGAGUCCACGAGUGGACAUAGUGCGACCCCUAUUUAGACCCUAGCCAUAUCUGUGGACGGAGUUAGGGAAUGUUGUCUAGAAAUAGAACGGGUGGGUACGGGUCUCGUAGGUCAGUACCGCCUCCGUACAAAGUUUGGGUUGAUCAAACGUGCAGGUAAAGUGUACACCUCUGCGCAGAGUUAUAAAACUAUUCGAAUAGUCGAGGCUCUCAACCAAGAGCUUAAAGCUCCCAUUGAUUAGUCAUAACCAACUUUAUAAAAGAAAGAGAGACUCGGGCUUGGUCCGGAGAUGUGUCUAAGGCAAAAGUCAACUCAGGUAAUCCCUGAC
rnacentral:lncRNA from 1 species